UCACUACACCUGCCCUGAGAAAAAGAAAAAAUGGGGUAGGUGCCCCUGCAGAACCUCUUUUCAUAAGCCUUCCUCCCAUCACUUCCGAUUUAAAGCGGAGGUGACGCGGAAACUGCGGUUCACUGCAACGAUGGCAACGCAACGCCGGCAACGACCAACACAUCGCGGUUUUGUGUUUUGUUGCCAAUGUGCCUAGUUGGCGCUGACGCCAAGGCCACACGUGUAGCGACUUGUGUUUCCGUGUCAGCUUCCCGUCUUGGGUCUUGCAGAAGGAACGAAGGCAUGUCGACGCUUUGAAGGGGAUUCCUUGAACUCAGUGCCAGACGUGUUCGAGAUGUCUUACUGCACCUGGAAUGGAUCCGAAAAAUACAGGGAUACCUUCGUUUCGGGUACGUACGUCUGCUCACAAUGCGGUUACGAGCUAUUCUCGAGUCGAUCCAAGUAUUCUCACCAUUCCCCGUGGCCCUCGUUCACUGAGACAAUACACGAAGAGAGUGUCAAAAGGACCCCAGAGCCCGGCAGAGCUCUCGCUCUAAAGAUUCACUGUGGAAAGUGUGGACAGGGCCUCGGACACGAGUUCGUCGGCGAUGGACCCGACGGGAAAUCUCGCUUCUGAGUGUUCUCUGAGUCCCUUCGGCUAAUUUCCAACGAAGCUCAACACGGUUAACGCCGUUGGUAAGGCUGGCUGAGGGUGGACUCCAGAACGACACUGAAGCAAAACCCAAGCAAGAAAAGUCAAGAGAGCACUGUGAUAUGAUGUAAAAACAUCGCGCCGUGAUAGCAUCGACAGACAUCUCCUGGAGCAUCUCAUCUGUCAUCAACAGAAACCCGUAACUGACUUAUUACAGAAACCCACUUAACUUAUUACGAGAGAGAGCACACACAAGCAGCUUGACACAAAUGCCAGCCACCACUGUAAUGGAAUUAUGUGUCUUAGAAUUUUACUACAAUUGCAGUGUGGGGACAUACAACUGAAUUACACAGAGCCUCAGAUGUGGACAAACACAUAUAUUGUCGAGAAUUUCGUUUCAGCAAAGCCAAACAACUUCAAAGGUUGUCUGGUGUACAGUAGGGUGGGCCUCAUUAAGACUCAUGUGCAAGUUCAGCAAUGUUUUUCCUCUCGCUUGAUCAUUAUCAACUUGCACACAGGGAAAGGUAACGGAAUCUUUUUCAUUUCCGUUACCACGUCCGUUACUGGCCCUUAUUUGUUCCUGUUUCAGUUUCGGUUACCACAAUUGUUGCUUUCGUUUGAAAGAUGAAAGUCACUGAAAAGGUUAGCUAGCUGUAGGGAUCGAACCCACAUCUUCUGGAUUACCGGUCCAGGGCUCUACCAAUUGAGCUAAGCUAACACGCCUCUCCAGCGACUUUCGGGGUGCGUCAUCUGAAGGGACGACAAACCAGCCACUCACUCUCACUCACCCUCCUUUCACUCUUACAUUUUUUGCUCACUCAUACACACAUUCAUACGACGGAAACGAUGACGCACCCCGAAAGUCGCUGGAGAGGCGUGUUAGCUUAGCUCAAUUGGUAGAGCCCUGGACCGGUAAUCCAGAAGAUGUGGGUUCGAUCCCUACAGCUAGCUAACCUUUUCAGUGACUUUCAUCUUUCAUCGUUGAUUUCUUAGGCAAUUUGAGGCUUUGUUUGUAUCUGUCCCUCCUUGUUGUUCCAGCCUCAGAACAUCAGUUCAUCUCUUGCUUUCGUUUCCAUUACGUUUCCGUUUUGGUACCGUCCCACCUCCAGCCCGUUUUUGUUUUCCCUCUUUCUUUUCUUUCCUUUUUUUGACCAUUGAGACCGUGACAAGACUUAAUCCCCUUUAAUCCCCCUAUGUUCUGAAGUCUAUUUUGAGGACUCCAGGGAUAUAUGCAUACAAGAGAACGUUUAUUCAAAAUACACAUAUAGGUACGUGAUUUCUGUGAAUAGCUAAUAUUAACAUGGUUUCCAGGAAUGUUACUCACGCUUGCAACUUCCAGGUCACCAUAAGCGUAUAAGAACUAUGCUUCUUCUAUUUACUGUAUACUACUUACUUAUAUGCUCCGGUUUGAUACGUAGUUCAUUUUAGUUUGCUUCAUUGAGGUUUAUUUCAUAAAUUUAUCUACAUAAUAUGGUGAAGAAUUGCAAUAAUUUGGGUCCUGCGGUACCCGAAUCAUUACCGUAAAUUAUUGCUGUUUCCGUUUCUGUUUCAGGUAUUCUAACUGCAAUUUCCGUUUCUGUUACCGUUACCUGCUAUAUUUCUGUUACCUUUCCUUGCUUGCACACCUCUGUGACUGUGAUUGCAAGCGUGCCUGACAUAGCUCAUGGUGUUUAUGAUGCAGCCUUGAAAAACCUGUCCAAGAUAGAGCAAUGCUGCGGAUGUAUCCUCGCUAUGCAAAUCUCAUGUUUUCCAUCACAUACACUCUUUAUUGCUCAUCUCUGAAAAGGUGCAAAAUAAAGAAUGCUUAUUAAAGGGACUAUGAAACCAUGGUCUGCAAUUAAGGUGCUUUCAACAGCAGCUUUUUGUCUGAACCUCCCACCAAAUCGUUACUUAAAUAAAUUGUUAUUGUUAUAUCUCUA